CCAGCGCCGAGCCGCCCUCCUCCAGCAGCUCGUCCCGCGGCGCCGCCGGGGGCUGCUGGGGGGACCGCCGCCGCUUCCCCCUCCUCCGCCGCAGGGCCAGCAGCGCGUACUGCACCAGGUUUUCGGAGAAGGAAAUACAUGCGGGAAAACUGCUUUUGAUGACAGCGCUGUGAAAUACCACAAGCAUUCCUGCCAGUGUACGUUCAAGCUCUGAACUCUGGUUCACCUCAGUUUUAGAUGAAAGAGACACUCUGUUGAUGUCACCUUGCUUCCACUAAAUUCUAUUUGAACCACUGAUUGAGGAGGAAGCAGAACGUGAGCACUGCUUAAGAACUUACCACUUUCUACAGCAGUUGGUUUCCUUGUAUUUUCCAAUAAAACAUUUGCAGGGGCACUUACUAAAACAAAGAGUCAUUAUUUCAGUAAUGUAAAAACUAUCAUUUACUUUCAGCAAAUGCAUCAAAAGAAGCUCUUCUGUAAACAAAAUUCUCAUCCCACAGACACAAUGGUAUGCACAAUAACAUCACAUUUUGCCAAGAGAUUCCAGUAGAAAACACAGUAAUUCCAAAGAAAGAAAGUGUAAGUUUAUUGGACGCCAACAUUUCUUAGUCAAGUUCUAAGUAAAGAAAACAUACAGUAGAAAAAGUUGUACAAAGCAGCAAUGGAUUUACAUUGCAUUAAAGAAAAAGUUACCCUAAGCUAUUAAGUCUCUGUCCUAAAAAAGUAAAAACCCAUUCUUAAUUACAAUCCAAUACUGGUGUAUCGAAUUGAUAUACAACAACUGUAAGGUAUACAGGAUUAAAAAAACAGCUUCUUUUGCCUUACCUCUAUAACACUUUAAAACGACAA